rnacentral:rRNA from 1 species
AUUGAACGCUGGCGGCAGGCCUAACACAUGCAAGUAGAGCGGAGCGGCGGACGGGUGAGGAAUGCCUAGGAAUCUGACUGGUAUUGGGGGAUAACGUCCGGAAACGGGCGCUAAUACCGCAUACUCUCCGAUUAGCAUAGGUCGGAUUAGCUAGUGGGUGUGGUAAAGGCAUACCAAGGCGACGACCCGUACCUGGUCUGAGAUGAUGAUCAGUCACACUGGAACGGAGACACGGUCGAGACUCCUACGUGAGGCAGCAGUGGGGAAUAUGUGACAAUGGGCGAAAGCCUGAUCCAGCCAUGCCGCGUGUGGGAAGAAGGUCUUCGGAUUGUAAAGCACUUUAAGUUAGGAGGCGUUACCAACAGAAUAAGCACCGGCUAACUUCGUGCCAGCAGCCGCGGUAAUAC